GCUAAGGGACUUUGAAAACGGAAUGCAGAAGUGGCCAGGGCCCUGAGCAGCGCUGUCUGCAGUGAGGCACUGGAGACAUUUCUUCCCCAUUCUCUUUCCAUAGCGAUGUGGUUGGUGCCCCUGCUUUGUGGCCAGGCCCAAAGCUACACUUGCAGGGCUUAUGGUCAGGGAACCCUGGUCUUAGUUCUACCCCUUGGUUGUCAUCAGGGAUAAGUAGAAUCCCCAAGCCCGCCAGACCAGCCUGACUACCCAAACCUAAACUUCUCUCUUUUUCUUUUUCUUUUUUUCUUUUUAAAGGGCCAGUGAGUUGGCUUAGCAGGCAGUGGCACCCUGAGAUUGUGGUAGAUCAAGCUCUGGAACCCAUGCAUAGGUGGAGAAGAAGACCCAGCUCCACGAAGCUGUCCUCUGACCACCUCACACAUGGUAUGGCAUGCGCACCCCCAAACAGAAAUCAACAACAACCAAAGAUCUCAACUGGCUUGGGAGCUGCAAAGGGCCAGGCAUGCCAGCCAGAGCACUUCCCUGAAUGGGACCUCAAAAGAAGUCUCGGAGGCGUGGCUGAUGACAACCACUCAGAUUCAUCCAUUGCCUUCUUUGUCAGAAGGACAUUCCCCAAGCACGGAGCCCUCACAGAGAACAGCUAGUCUUUAAGAGGGACUUGAAGAGGUUAUGCAGCUGAAGCAUGGUCAGGGCUGCUUGUGAACUUUCGGGAGCUGGCAGGGAGGCCUGGACCUAGAGAGGGGCUGGGCAGGAUGGAUGCAGGCACAGGGCACCGAAUACCAAAGGUCAGAGGGGAGCGAGACUGGAGAUUGCUGAACUUACAGAGAUCCCUGGGCUUGUAUCAGAAUGUGGGGGACAGGGCAGGGGACAGAGAGAAGGCUAGAGGAAGCAUGGGGCCAGCUCGAAGAAGCCAAUUUCUGCCUCAGAAGCCAGGGGUACAUGAGGUAAAAAGAGGGGAGCCUUCCAGGACCUUGAGAACUAGCCUGUUUUAGCCAGUCUGAUUCUUGGAAAGAGCA
rnacentral:lncRNA from 1 species